UACGUAGGCAGCAAGCGUUGUUCGGAAUUACUGGGCAUAAAGAGUGUGUAGGCGGUGCUCCAAGUCUGGUGUGAAAUCUCCCGGCUCAACUGGGAGGGUGCGCUAGAAACUGGAAUGCUAGAGGAUGGGAGAGGUAAGCGGAAUUCCUGGUGUAGCGGUGAAAUGCGUAGAUAUCAGGAGGAACACCUGUGGUGUAGACAGCUUACUGGACCAUUUCUGACGCUGAGACACGAAAGCGUGGGUAGCAAACAGG
rnacentral:rRNA from 1 species